CCUGGCGUGUACCCGCCAGUUCAUCAGAUCGGCAUGCGUCGGGGGCCAACCCCGGGGUGUGAAGCCUGAUCAACAAUGUCUCGCUCACAAAAGGGUGUUAUCCGGUGACGGAGAACGCCUCGCGUCCGAAUUGCACGGGCGUGACGAG
rfam:Pseudomonas sp. Chol1 Contig105, whole genome shotgun sequence.